AUUGAACGCUGGCGGCAGGCCUAACACAUGCAAGUCGAGCGAGCGGCGGACGGGUGAGUAAUGUAUGGGGACUGCCCGAUAGAGGGGGAUAACUACUGGAAACGGUAGCUAAUACCGCAUACUAUCGGAUAACCCAUAUGGGAUUAGCUAGUAGGUGAGGUAAUGGCUCACCUAGGCGACGAUCCCUAGCUGGUCUGAGAGGAUGAUCAGGCAACACGGGACCGGGAAACGGCCCCGGCUCCUACGGGGGCAGGAGGGGGGAAUAUUGCACAAUGGGCGCAAGCCUGAUGCAGCCAUGCCGCGUGUAUGAAGAAGGCCCUAGGGUUGUAAAGUACUUUCAGUCGGGAGGCGUUACCGACAGAAGAAGCACCGGCUAACUCCGUGCCAGCAGCCGCGGUAAUAC
rnacentral:rRNA from 1 species